CUUUUUUAUUUAAUACAUCAAAUAAGUUGAGUCCCUACCAUAUAUAAGGCAGUUUUCUUUAUAUCCUUUUGUUUACGAAAUAGUAAGUGUUAUACAUUUUCAGAGGAAGUUAAAUGAUUGUCUACAUUGUUACUGCAGUAACUGGACUCUUCCUAUUCUGUGUUCUAUGUGACAUUUUUGCUACUGACCACCUUAACACUUUAGCCUUAGUGUCCUAUUGCCUCUAUCAGCAGGGCAGAAAUGGUGGUUAACAUAUUACAUCAUCGGGCUGGGCGCAGUGGCUCACGCCUGUAAUCCCAGCACUUUGGGAGGCCGAGGUGGGCGGAUCAUUAGGUCAGGAGAUUGAGACCAUCCUGGCUAACAUGGUGAAACCCUGUCUCUACUAAAAGUACAAAAAAUUAUCCGGG
rnacentral:lncRNA from 1 species